rnacentral:rRNA from 1 species
AGAGUUUGAUCCUGGCUCAGGACGAACGCUGGCGGCGCGCCUAACACAUGCAAGUCGAACGAGCGAGAGAGAGCUUGCUUUCUCGAGCGAGUGGCGAACGGGUGAGUAGCGCGUGAGGAACCUGCCUCAAAGAGGGGGACAACAGUUGGAAACGACUGCUAAUACCGCAUAAGCCCACGGGUCGGCAUCGACCAGAGGGAAAAGGAGCAAUCCGCUUUGAGAUGGCCUCGCGUCCGAUUAGCUAGUUGGUGAGGUAACGGCCCACCAAGGCGACGAUCGGUAGCCGGACUGAGAGGUUGAACGGCCACAUUGGGACUGAGACACGGCCCAGACUCCUACGGGAGGCAGCAGUGGGGAAUAUUGCACAAUGGGGGAAACCCUGAUGCAGCGACGCCGCGUGGAGGAAGAAGGUCUUCGGAUUGUAAACUCCUGUUGUUGAGGAAGAUAAUGACGGUACUCAACAAGGAAGUGACGGCUAACUACGUGCCAGCAGCCGCGGUAAAACGUAGGUCACAAGCGUUGUCCGGAAUUACUGGGUGUAAAGGGAGCGCAGGCGGGAAGACAAGUUGGAAGUGAAAUCCAUGGGCUUAACCCAUGAACUGCUUUCAAAACUGUUUUUCUUGAGUAGUGCAGAGGUAGGCGGAAUUCCCGGUGUAGCGGUGGAAUGCGUAGAUAUCGGGAGGAACACCAGUGGCGAAGGCGGCCUACUGGGCACCAACUGACGCUGAGGCUCGAAAGUGUGGGUAGCAAACAGGAUUAGAUACCCUGGUAGUCCACACUGUAAACGAUGAUUACUAGGUGUUGGAGGAUUGUCCCCUUCAGUGCCGCAGUUAACACAAUAAGUAAUCCACCUGGGGAGUACGACCGCAAGGUUGAAACUCAAAGGAAUUGACGGGGGCCCGCACAAGCAGUGGAGUAUGUGGUUUAAUUCGACGCAACGCGAAGAACCUUACCAAGUCUUGACAUCCGUUGACCGCUGUAGAAAUACAGUUUUCCUUCGGGACAGCGAGACAGGUGGUGCAUGGUUGUCGUCAACUCGUGUCGUGAGAUGUUGGGUUAAGUCCCGCAACGAGCGCAACCCUAUCUUUAGUAGCCAGCGGUCAGGCCGGGCACUCUAGAGAGACUGCCAGGGAUAACCUGGAGGAAGGUGGGGAUGACGUCAAAUCAUCAUGCCCCUUAUGAGCAGGGCUACACACGUGCUACAAUGGCGUAAACAAAGGGAGGCAGAACCGCGAGGUCGAGCAAAUCCCAAAAAUAACGUCUCAGUUAGGAUUGUAGUCUGCAACUCGACUACAUGAAGCUGGAAUCGCUAGUAAUCGCGAAUCAGAAUGUCGCGGUGAAUACGUUCCCGGGUCUUGUACACACCGCCCGUCACACCAUGGGAGUCAGUAACGCCCGAAGUCAGUGACCCAACCGUAAGGAGGGAGCUGCCGAAGGUGGGACCGAUAACUGGGGUGAAGUCGUAACGAGGUA